rnacentral:rRNA from 1 species
GGUGAGUAACGCGUGAGGAACCUGCCUUUCAGAGGGGGACAACAGUUGGAAACGACUGCUAAUACCGCACGACACAUAGAGAUCGCAUGGUUUUUAUGUCAAAGAUUUAUCGCUGAAAGAUGGCCUCGCGUCUGAUUAGCUAGUUGGUGAGGUAACGGCCCACCAAGGCGACGAUCAGUAGCCGGACUGAGAGGUUGACCGGCCACAUUGGGACUGAGAUACGGCCCAGACUCCUACGGGAGGCAGCAGUGGGGAAUAUUGGGCAAUGGGCGCAAGCCUGACCCAGCAACGCCGCGUGAAGGAAGAAGGCUUUCGGGUUGUAAACUUCUUUUGUCGGGGACGAGUAGAAGACGGUACCUGGCGAAUAAGCCACGGCUAACUACGUGCCAGCAGCCGCGGUAAUACGUAGGUGGCAAGCGUUGUCCGGAUUUACUGGGUGUAAAGGGCGUGUAGCCGGGAAGGCAAGUCAGAUGUGAAAUCCACGGGCUUAACUCGUGAACUGCAUUUGAAACUACUUUUCUUGAGUAUCGGAGAGGCAAUCGGAAUUCCUAGUGUAGCGGUGAAAUGCGUAGAUAUUAGGAGGAACACCAGUGGCGAAGGCGGAUUGCUGGACGACAACUGACGGUGAGGCGCGAAAG